GACUUCACACCUGCAAGCACAGCCAUCAUCAACAGAGGCAAAGAUCUCCAAGUAGAACAGCGUAAGUGCAGAAUAAAAGUCUCCACUGACUGCAGGGAAAGCCCAGCCUGGCCGGGGUCUCUCCCUGGCCGCAGGCCCAUCCCUGCCGGCUCUCUGCCGGCCCCGGCCCUGCUCCCGCUGUCCNNNNNNNNNNNNNNNNNNNNGGGCCCAGCCCUGGGGCGCUGCAGCCGCCGGCACCGCCUGAGGCCGGGCCGGGCAGCCCCGGCUGCUCCGCAGAGCCAACACCCGGACACCUGCACCCCUUUCCUAGUCUGUUUUUCUACAAACCUGAGGGCCAGAAGUGGAUGGAUGGAGAUGGGCAGCUCUCAGGAAUGGAAGGAUAUUUUUCAGGAGGGAAGAUAUUUUCAGGGAAAGGAAGCAAUUCACCAGUCUUAUAACAAAGCUCUUACAGGAUGUCCCAAACUUUCUGUUUGGUCUGCCAAGGGCUUUCACAUUCAGAAAGAAACCAUUCUCUUCAACUUUAAAGAUAUAGCCAGAAAUUUAUGAGAAGUCAUCCUCUUGGUAAUGUUUCUAGUUUGGUAUUUGAUGGCAGUUGGUGCAAUUGCAAUUCACCCUUCUUCUAUUUUUCAUGUCCUAACUCAUUGUACGCAGGAUGAGCUGGUUUUAUCCUGAGAGUAGUCCUAUCAACAGAGCUGUUUGUGCUGCUGGGUUUGUAAAUGAAAAAGAAAGGUAAUUCCUUGUAAAAAUCUGAAAGCAGACUGAAGGACUAAAAGUGGCUGUAGGUAAAAUGCUAUGUGAAGUGCUUUUGUUUUAAGUGAAGAAAGGAUUACAAAAUGAAGGCUGCAGAAAUGCUAUCCCAAUAAAUUUACUUUGGUCACCUCUUUGCCA
rnacentral:lncRNA from 1 species